GAUGAACGCUGGCGGCGUGCUUAACACAUGCAAGUCGAACGAAGCACUUUACUUGACCUUUUCGGAGUGAUUGUUUUGUGACUGAGUGGCGGACGGGUGAGUAACGCGUGGGUAACCUGCCUCACACAGGGGGAUAACAGUUGGAAACGGCUGCUAAUACCGCAUAAGUGCACAGUACCGCAUGGUCCGGUGUGAAAAACUCCGGUGGUGUGAGAUGGACCCGCGUCUGAUUAGCUAGUUGGCAGGGCAACGGCCUACCAAGGCGACGAUCAGUAGCCGACCUGAGAGGGUGACCGGCCACAUUGGGACUGAGACACGGCCCAAACUCCUACGGGAGGCAGCAGUGGGGAAUAUUGCACAAUGGGGGAAACCCUGACGCAGCGACGCCGCGUGAGCGAAGAAGUAUUUCGGUAUGUAAAGCUCUAUCAGCAGGGAAGAAGAAGUGACGGUACCUGACUAAGAAGCACCGGCUAAAUACGUGCCAGCCGCCGCCGUAA
rnacentral:rRNA from 1 species